rnacentral:rRNA from 1 species
AGCAGCCGCCGCGGUAAUACGUAGGUGGCAAGCGUUGUCCGGAAUUAUUGGGCGUAAAGGGCACGCAGGCGGUUUCUUAAGUCUGAUGUGAAAGCCCCCGGCUCAACCGGGGAGGGUCAUUGGAAACUGGGAAACUUGAGUGCAGAAGAGGAGAGUGGAAUUCCACGUGUAGCGGUGAAAUGCGUAGAGAUGUGGAGGAACACCAGUGGCGAAGGCGACUCUCUGGUCUGUAACUGACGCUGAGGAGCGAAAGCGUGGGGAGCGAACAGGAUUAGAUACCCCGGUAGUCCCUGUCUCUUAUAC